AGUGAACGCUGGCGGCAGGCUUAACACAUGCAAGUCGAACGCCCCGCAAGGGGAGUGGCAGACGGGUGAGUAACGCGUGGGAAUAUCCCCUUUGGUUCAGGAUAGCCCCGGGAAACUGGGAUUAAUACUGGAUAAGAUCUACGGAUGAAAGAUUUAUCGCCGAAGGAUUAGCCCGCGUAAGAUUAGCUAGUUGGUGAGGUAAUGGCUCACCAAGGCUACGAUCUUUAGCUGGUCUGAGAGGAUGAUCAGCCACACUGGAACUGAGACGCGGUCCAGACUCCUACGGGAGGCAGCAGUGAGGAAUAUUGGACAAUGGGCGCAAGCCUGAUCCAGCCAUGCCGCGUGAGUGAUGAAGGCCCUAGGGUUGUAAAACUCUUUUAGUUGGGAAAAUAAUGAUGGAACCAACAGAAAAAGCUCCGGCUAACUUCGUGCCAGCCGCCGCCGUAA
rnacentral:rRNA from 1 species